rnacentral:rRNA from 1 species
AUUGAACGCUGGCGGCAUGCCUUACACAUGCAAGUCGAACGGCAGCACGGGGGUAACUCUGGUGGUGAGUGGCGAACGGGUGAGUAAUACCUAGGAAUGUGUCUUGUAGUGGGGGAUAGCGCGCCGAAAGCCGGACUAAUACCGCAUACGUCCUACGGAGGAAAGGGGGGGAUCUUAGGACCUCCCGCUAUCGGGGCGGCCGAUGGCAGAUUAGCUAGUUGGUGGGGUAAAGGCCUACCAAGGCGACGAUCCGUAGCUGGUCUGAGAGGACGACCAGCCACACUGGGACUGAGACACGGCCCAGACUCCUACGGGAGGCAGCAGUGGGGAAUUUUGGACAAUGGGCGCAACCCUGAUCCAGCAAUGCCGCGUGUGUGAAGAAGGCCUUCGGGUUGUAAAGCACUUUUGGCCGGAAAGAAAACGCCGUGGUUAAUACCCGUGGCGGAUGACGGUACCGGAAGAAUAAGCACCGGCUAACUACGUG